CAGACCAUACUUUCAGGGAUCAUUUCUAUAGUAUCCAACUAGAGAAAUGCACUCAAACAUUGGCGUUUUCAAGAAGAGAUUGGACUGCCAUUUGUCAGAAAUGGUGUACAUUUUCCUGCUUGGGCAGGGGUUGGACUAGAUGACCUACAAGGUCUCUUCCAACUCUGUUAAUCUAAAAGUGACUGGCUGG
rnacentral:snoRNA from 1 species